UAAGCGGAGGAAAAGAAACUAACAAGGAUUCCCCUAGUAACGGCGAGUGAAGCGGGAAGAGCUCAAAUUUGAAAUCUGGUGGCCUCAGGUCAUCCGAGUUGUAAUCUAUAGAAGUGUUUUCCGUGCUGGCUCAUGUACAAGUCCCUUGGAACAGGGCGUCAUAGAGGGUGAGAAUCCCGUCCUUGACAUGAACUACCAGUGCUCUGUGAUACAUUUUCAACGAGUCGAGUUGUUUGGGAAUGCAGCUCAAAAUGGGUGGUAAAUUCCAUCUAAAGCUAAAUAUUGGCGAGAGACCGAUAGCGAACAAGUACCGUGAGGGAAAGAUGAAAAGCACUUUGGAAAGAGAGUUAAACAGUAUGUGAAAUUGUUAAAAGGGAAACGAUUGAAGUCAGUCGUGCUCUUUGGAUUCAGCCGGUUCUGCCGGUGUACUUCCUUUGAGUGGGGUCAACAUCAGUUUUGAUCGCUGGAUAAAGGCUGGAGGAACGUAGCACCCCCGGGUGAACUUAUAGCCUCCUGUCACAUACAGUGGUUGGGACUGAGGAACGCAGCACGCCUUUAUGGCCGGGAUUCGUCCACGUACGUGCUUAGGAUGUUGACAUAAUGGCUUUAAACGACCCGUCUUGAAACACG
rnacentral:rRNA from 1 species